rnacentral:rRNA from 1 species
GAGUAAUGUCUGGGAAACUGCCUGAUGGAGGGGGGAUAACUACUGGAAACGGUAGCUAAUACCGCAUAACGUCGCAAGACCAAAGAGGGGGACCUUCGGGCCUCUUGCCAUCGGAUGUGCCCAGAUGGGAUUAGCUAGUAGGUGGGGGUAAAGGGCUCACCUAGGCGACGAUCCCUAGCUGGUCUGAGAGGAUGACCAGCCACACUGGAACUGAGACACGGUCCAGACUCCUACGGGAGGCAGCAUG